AUACGGAGGGGGUUAGCGUUGUUCGGAAUUACUGGGCAUAAAGCGCACGUAGGCGGACUGGAAAGUUGGGGGUGAAAUCCCGGGGCUCAACCCCGGAACUGCCUCCAAAACUUCCAAUCUAGAGAUCGAGAGAGGUGAGUGGAAUUCCAAGUGUAGAGGUGAAAUUCGUAGAUAUUUGGAGGAACACCAGUGGCGAAGGCGGCUCACUGGCUCGAUACUGACGCUGAGGUGCGAAAGCGUGGGGAGCAAACAGGAUUAGAAACCCCAGUAGUCC
rnacentral:rRNA from 1 species